rnacentral:lncRNA from 11 species
CUGCUCACACUGUACCCUCAUCUCCAAGGACAUAUUCAUUACUUUCCACUUGUUGGGAGUGACUUUCUAAAGUCCAGGUAAUCAGACAUUGAUUUUGAAUGAUCUUUGAUAAACCACUGAUUAAAAAAACAAACUUAAUUUCCAUCAUAUCUGGAACAUGGCAAUCAGCUCUGCAGAAUUGUGGGUUCAAGAUCCCAGCAUGCUUAGACCCUGAAGGAUGAAAUCAGACAGGAAUGGGGUGAAGGCAGAGGUUUAUUCACUUCAGCCAAAAAGUGGAUAUUGGAGAGACAGAACUCUCAAAUCAGACAUAAAGUGAAAGAUUCAUACAGAGACAUUUAUUUAGACUUGAAAACAAUUCAAAGGAUGGACUUUUGCUGUUCCGGGCACUGAUGAGUGCAAGUUACAAUCUGUGCACUGGUUGGUGGAGGUGUGCCAUCCGCU